rnacentral:lncRNA from 1 species
AAAGUAUGUGGUAUUUUUGGUAUGAGACAUAGUGACAUUGCCUUCUCUCUCACCCUACUCUAAUAAGGUUUUCAUAUAUGAGGCAUAGUGACAUUGCCUUCUCUCUCACCCUACUCUAACAAGUCAAUAAGUCAAAUCAAGAUGUGCAUGUGUGGCGAGUGAAUGGUGUAUGGUGAUGAUGGUGAUAACAAUGGUGAAAGUGUAAUUCUACUUUUGCUCUUUUUAGGGGAUCCAUACCUUGCUUGCACUUUGAAGCUUUUUGGGGAGAAUGAGAUGCUCUAUAUUUUUUUCUCUCAGGUGGGUAUCUUGUACCCCUAAUUCUAGUGUCGGACACUUGUCUAUUUUUACCUCUCGUCUCACUUUUCCUUUUCUUCGAGGUUCCAAGCACUUGCCCCUUUUUAUUUCCUCAUAUUUUUCCUUUUUCUUCUCUUUUUUAGAGCACUCACCCUCCUGAAAUAAUGUAGCAAGUGGUAGUAACCAAAAUAUCUCG